rnacentral:lncRNA from 1 species
AUUAGGAUAAACCAUAAGGAUAAAUAUCAUGUUCUAUAUGCAAGUUUUGAAUUACAUGCAAAGUUUGUUUUUCUGAAAACCUGCACUGUUUUGGUGUGAUUAUAUGUUAUGGGUAAUAUAGAUUAUUCUAAAAACUUGUAUCCUUUUAAUAUUGGUGAUUUUGAGUUAGAAUAAUCUGAAAGUUGAAUUUUAUCAUGUAAAACGGAAAAGCAUGUUUUGCCGAAUUAGGGCAGAAAAUCGGAG